GGUUUGUAGCUCAGUGGUAGAGCACUUGCCUAGCAUGUGUGAGGUGCUGGGUUCAAUCCUCAGCACCA
rnacentral:tRNA from 1 species